CGCAUGUCAGGCUCUGUCGUGCCGACGCUGUUGUCCGGGCGGCGUGGGGGCGGGCGUGUGCCCGUCCUGCCUCUACCUGCUGCAUCGGAACGCAGCCCGGCCUGCGCGUAUUUGCGCAUGCGCUAGGCAAGUUUAUGGCAGGCUGUCGGCCGGCCGCUGGCAGUGCCAGUGGCGACGCGGGGCUCUCCACGUUGUCACUGAGGGCUUGCCUCGAAUCCGGCUGUAGCUUGCCCAGCGCUACAUAAUGAUUCCCUCUUCACGUGCGGCAGGCACUUGCAGCUUGCUGCGYGGGGCAUGGCGUGCCGGCUCUGGCAUGCCGUAGCUCUCGCGCGGCGGUGCGGCGCCUUAUUGCUACUUAGAGGGGCAAGCAAGUAAGCUCAAAGCGUCCAAAUGGGGACUCGCCAAA
rnacentral:rRNA from 1 species